AACAACACCCCCUAAAUUGAUCUACGGAUUCAGUGUAAUCCUUACCCAAAUCCCAGCUGGUUUCUUUGCAGAAAUUCACAAACCCAUCUUGAAAUUCAUAGGCAAGUGCAAGUGCUCCAGGGUAGGCAAAACGGCCUUGCCAAAGAGAAACAAAGCUGAUGGGCCCACACUUUUCAAUUUCAAAACUCACUGCAGGAGUUCCCUGGUGGCUCAGCGGGUUAAGGUGAGGAUGUGGAGAAGUUGAAACCCUUAUACAUGUGCUGAUGGAAUGUAAAAUGAUGCAGCCGCUUUGAAAAAGCUUGGUUCCUCAAAGAUGAGGCAUAGAAUUACCGUAUGACCCAGCAAUUUCCUUCCUAGGUGCAUGGCCAAGAGAAAUGAAGACAUGUUCACAGAAAAACUUGAAUACAAAUAUCCAGGAGUUCUCAUCAUGGCUCAGCAAACCCAACCAGCAAUCAGGAGGGCACAGGUUCAAUCCCUGGCCUCGCUCAGUGGGUUAAGGAUCCAGCAUUGCCACAAGCUACGGUGUAGGUCACAGAUGCGGCUUGGAUCUGGCACUGCUGUGACUGGCGUAGGCUGGCAGCUGCAGCUCUCAUUCGAUCCCUGCCUGGCCUGGGAACUUCCAUAUGCUGCAGGUGCAGCCAUUUAAAAAAUAACAAGGGAACAAAAACAAAACCAAAAAACCAGUGAUCUAAACUGAGGGGUGUCUGUGGGAGCAUAGAGCCCUCGCACCCAACCCUGGCUAGGUCAAGAAGGGCUUCACAGAGGAAGUGCCAUUUUGUAUAAGAUGAAUUAGCUCACUGAAGCGGCGGGUGGUGGAAAGGUGUUCGGGCAGGGGGAACAGCAUGUGCUAGCUGGUGAUGGAAGAGCCUGGCAUACUUGGACAAAUCUAGGAGAGCUGGAAUCAUGAAUCUGAAGUCAGGAGCAGAGAGAUGAGACUAGAAAAGCUGAUGUGGCUGCACCAGGAGGCCUUCUGCCAAGGAGGCUGGCCUUUCCCUGAGGGCAGUGGGAAGGCAUGGGCAAGUUGUCACAGGGAGGGAACACAGUCGGACUGCACCCUACUCAGCCAGAGCACUGGUAAGCACAGCCCGAGGGAGUGAUGUGGGGUCCUUGCCUGGCUGCUCUCAACGCUUUUAUCUCCUCUUCUCUAUCCCAGACUGGACUUCAGAUUUCUCAGGCCUGUGGUUUGGGUGAGGCUGACCCCCUACUCCUGGCUCCAGGCUUGGACCCAGUUGGUUUAAACUGAUCAGCACGUCCCUUGUCUCCUCCUCCCCCUACAUCGAUUGGCAGGGUAGGGUGGGGAGGAAAUGGGUCACUUGGCAAGAUGCAAAUAGCAAGUGGGAUGCCUAAGCUUCCACCUGCAGACAAAUAGGAGAGCCUUCCUGAGAAUGGCCUCAAACCCUGAGGAUGCAGAGCCAGAAGUGGAGAGAGGAAACCCAGAUCAUCUCUUAGCCUGUGAACCGGGAUCAAGCCUCACCUGAAGGCAGAUCCUGCUGGACUCCUGAGUUACCUGAGUCCAUAGUGUUCCCUUUAGGCUUUAGCCAGUUUAGGUCAGGUUUUCUGUUACUCUAAGGUGCUCCAGCAGAUAAACACUCUGACAGAAGGGAAGCACAAGGGAUUGGGAAGCCCUGAGGAACCUUUGCAAUCUCCCUGUAGGUUUCUGGAAGACUCUAGAAAAUGUUGGGGCUCUGAGAUGAGAAGUGGAUGGUUAGCAAAGGAAGUGGAAAGGCUGUCAUGGGAGGGGAGGGCAUGAUUUAUGCAGUGUCCUUCCUGAGCAUCUGCUAAUGACGUCCAUCCAUCACCGGUGCCCUGAGGGUAGGCAGCCAGGUGGGAUUUUAGCAGCCCUGACCCCAGACCCAACACUGAGAGCAUGAGAGGUAGCUCGCCUGGGUCCACAGUUGAGGCAGCCCAGGUGAGGUCCCAGGGCGCCACUGACCUGCUCCUGGCCAGGCUGCCAGCGCUGGACUGGAAGGCCAGCUGUGCCGUCUCCCUGGGCUGUGUCCUUUCUACCCACCGCUCUGGGUUUUGGCUGGAAGCAACAAGCCUCCCAGGGCUGAGCCUGGGAUAAAGCUGACUUUGUUGAUUUGGAGAGAAAGCUCAUCUAGAAUCCACAGGCGGGAUCCCUUGCCCUCCCUGUGUCUCUGUGGUGCCUGCCUUUUCUCUGUCCAGGUCCAAGCCUCAUAAAACCCAUUUGCGGGUGGCUUUAUUGAUUUUCAAUCAUCUCUACAUAAUGAGCCUCUGCAGGCCCCUGUGGGCCACUCCUAGCACGGAGCGCCCAGAGGCUGUGCGGGUGAUUCAGACGCAAUUAUUAACAAGGCUGUAUUUACUCCUCUGGAGGGGCUGCUGGGAAACCCAGCCAUGCAGCGGAGCAGGGCAGAACCCGGGGCUGCUCAGACCAUCAGGUGCCUGGUUGUCACAGGGCCUCCCCAACCCCACAGCCUGCCCUGGCGCCCUGGGCCUUCCCGGCUAAGGGCCAGACCUCGCCCUCAGAGACCAAUUGCCCUGAGGUCACCCGAAGCCACCAGGCCCUUUGAAGGAGCCAGAAGCUGCCCCGCUCUUUGCCUCUGGCUUGUUUUCAGUCUCUCCCCAGGCUCCAGGCCCAGGUAGCACUCUGUCACCAGCAGGGCUCUGCCAUCAACUUGGCGGCAUUGGCAAGCAUCGUUCAAGGGGUGCGAGGCAGAGACCCACCAGGAGCCAGAGCUGGAGCCGCUGGGCUGGCAGGAGGGCAAGAGAGGCCAGCCUCCACAGAGCCGCGAGUCACUUCUGUCCUUUCUGCCCCCCGCCUGGGAACCAGCAGUCAGCAAUGUGGUACUUGGGGUUGGGUGCACUGUUGGAUCUCAGAGUGGGGUGGAGGGUGUCCCUCCCCAGCCCCCAGCCCACAUCUAACCUGUGGGGGAGGGGCAGUGCCAGCUCCAGAAGCAUUUCUGAGUCAGAAGGAGCAGAGGCUGUUCUUUUUUUUUUUUUUUUUUUUUUUUUUUUUGUCUUUUUAGGGCUGCACCCGCAGCGUAUAGAGGUUUCCAGGCUGAGGGUUGAAUCAUAGCUGCAGCCGCCGGCCUACACCACAGCCACAGCAACACUGGAUCUAAGCCACGUAUGCACCUACACCACAGCUCACGGCAACACCAGAUCCUUAACCCACUGAGCAAGGCCAGGGAUCGAACCUGCAUCAUGGUCACUCGUCGAGUGUCCCCAUGGAGCUCCCUCUCCGGACCGGGCCGGAAAAACCCAGACCCACUCCGAACUCGCUACGGAGGGGCUCGGCCAUCGGCUCUGUCCAGAUCGCAUGCGAGCACAGUGGGGGGGGGGGAGCCUGGGUGCGAAGUGGUCAUGGCUCCCUGGGCCAAUGCUGGCAGAAGAUGGGGGUUGGGGGCACAUGAUUUGGGGCUCCUUACUGCUGUGUGGAGUGAGGCCCCUCCUCCUGCAAAGCCUCUUCCACCAAACAGUUCGCCUUGACCCUUUUCUUUGUUUUUUUAUUUUCUUGCUUUUAGGGCUGCAUCUGCGGCCUAUGGAGGUUCCCAAGCAAGGGGUCCAAUCGGAGCUGUAGCCGUCAGCCUACGCCGGAGCCACAGCAACGCAGGAUCCGAGCGGCGUCUGCGACCUACACCACAGCUCACAGCAACACCCGAUCCUUAACCCAGUGAGCGAGGCCAGGGAUCAAACCUGCAAUCUCAUGGUUCCUAGUCGGAUUCAUUUCCACUGAGCCGCGAUGGGAACACCUGCACCCCAGUUUGGAACUGUUACAGCACACGAUGUCCUGGCUAGAAGGAACCUUGGAGCCCUUCACUGUUCAGAUGAGCGACCUGAGGUCCAGGGAAUAAGAGUGACCAAGCGUGAACAGGAAAAAAGUCAGUGGGCUCCAGGCAGUGGCCUGCGCGUUAGUGAAUUCAGGGCACGGCGACCUCAAAGAGACGGAUGGACUGAAUGUCAUGGCCAAAGAGGAGUCAAGGGGCUGAAGAGUCACCAACCACAUUCAUCAGUGUUGUCUGAGCUUCCGCUCUGGGUUGGGCCCUGGUCGGGCAGCAGCGACAAGACACAUCUCUCCUGGGGCCCCUGGGUUGGCGCAGAAAUAACUGGAGGGCGGGGGACAGUGGGACCCUGGGAGAGCUGGGCCAGGCCCAAGGGGCUGUCAGGGCUGCCCUCAGAAGUGUCCCUUGGAUCUGCCCAAAGGAGUCCGAAUCUUGGCUCUUGGCUCUGGCUCUCCCUGGGGUAAGGAGGGGCCGGCCUGGCUCCGAAACCAGCACACAUCUCGCUGAUGAGCUGGGGCAGGCCAGGCAGUGGGCAGCUCCCUGUGGUCAUGGGCUCCAGGUCUUGGCCUCCAGGAAAGCUGCUCCUCCUCCCCGCUCCUGCUCCCGGCAUGUCUGAGCUUGACUCUGGGAGAGCCCACUGGGUCCUGGAAGCGCCACCGCGCCUGGCAGAAGCCGCAGGAUCCAGACCCUUCCCCUUAGCGAGUCUUAGUCCUUCUCUCUUCUGUCUGUGAGGUGGGCGCAUUGGACCUGGUGGGCUUCAGAGCGUGGCUCUGAGCUUUGAGGCUUCUUGAAUUCUGUGGUCAGUGGUUCUGGGGUGUCUGUCCUGCUUCCCUCUGAUGCUGUAGUAACACUGUGACCGGCCCUUGCUGGCCGGGGCUGAUUGGACCAGACAAACACCUGACGCACGUGAGCCAAUCAGAUCCUCUCCCCCGGCCCGGGCCUUGUGACUCACCAGUCGGUCGGUGGGCAGGUGAGAGGGAGGGAAGCUAAGGCCAAGCCGAGCCGGGGCCGGAGGCCGAGGGGAAGCCGUCUGCAGAGGCAGAAGCUGUCCCGGAGAAGCAGCGUCCUGAGAAUGAUCCACGGGAUUUUUCCGAGUGCACCCUAUGCCCCAGCACGCCUCCUUCAUUCUUCUAGAAAACACAUCCAAGUUCCUUUGGGGACUUCCUCUGGGGACAGCCCUAGGAGAGCUGUCUGGCAAGUUCCCUGCCCACCCCCCAUCCAGGGUGGUCCCCAAACCCCAGUGUGGCCAUCAGACAUUCUCUCUCGGGACUGAAUUUUGGCAGAGGGCUGCAGAGAAGGAGGAAGAGGCCAGAGGCCAUCUCGGCCUGAAGACACUGUCUCCUUGUCUCUGCCGGUGGAGCCCACGGCCUGGAGAUUCCUGGUCCUGCCCCUUCCCAGCCGUCCCCUGAGCACUUCUGUGUGUACAGACAUUGCCACUUCUGCUGCUGCUUUGGUGGCUGUUGAGAGCCACCUGGGAGCUGGGUCGUCGGGAAACUGGUACUGUCCGGGGCUGCUUUUACCAUCAGGGAGGGGCCCUGGCCCCUCCUGACCUUCUGGUAAAUUCCCCCCUUUGCUUCAGCCUGGUCCAGGGGGCAAGCAGGGGUGAGACCCAAAGACUCACCCUUAGCCUUUAGUGGGGUUGGCAAGGCCAGGCGAGCACUAGGGGACCCUUGGCCCCUGUGUGUGUGUGUGUGUGUGUGUGUGUGUCCACCUGCCUCGCUGUGAGAUGAGCCCCACUCAGGACCCUCACUGAAGGCUUCCCUGGGGAGGGUGAGGUUCAGAGAAGGGCCGUCUGCCCAAGGGCAGAGGGCACAGACUGAGGACCAGGACACUGCCCGUUCAUGACUGUCCCGCCGCGUGGUGGUCGUGAUGGUUGCGGACUCAGGAACUGAAAGACCCCUGCUCACCUCCAGGGCCCUGGAGAAAGCUGGGGAGGGGGCCUUUGUCCCCAGGCCGGAAGGGCUUUGCACCAGCUUCUCGUUCACAGACCCACUGGCCCAGCUGCUCCCUGUGACACCUGCGCCUUCCUCGACGGCAAAGCCCCACUUUCAAGGCCCAUCAACAGCCCUGCGAGGCCACAGCCUCCUGGGGACGCCACAGUCCCAACUUCCAAAUGAGGAGACGGAGGCUCAGGACACAGGCGGGACAAGGUUCAGGAGCCUUUCCACAGCGUCAUUAAGUGAUUUCUCUUUGUCCAUAACCAUAAUUUUAAUAUUGUUGAUAUGAAAUAUCAUUAAACAUGUGUACUGUUCAUUAAUAAUAACCGUCAGUCUUU
rnacentral:lncRNA from 1 species